UUAAAUUGAAGAGUUUGAUCAUGGCUCAGAUUGAACGCUGGCGGCAGGCCUAACACAUGCAAGUCGAACGGUAACAGGAAACAGCUUGCUGUUUCGCUGACGAGUGGCGGACGGGUGAGUAAUGUCUGGGAAACUGCCUGAUGGAGGGGGAUAACUACUGGAAACGGUAGCUAAUACCGCAUAACGUCGCAAGACCAAAGAGGGGGACCUUCGGGCCUCUUGCCAUCGGAUGUGCCCAGAUGGGAUUAGCUAGUAGGUGGGGUAACGGCUCACCUAGGCGACGAUCCCUAGCUGG
rnacentral:rRNA from 2 species